rnacentral:rRNA from 1 species
ACCAACAGGGAUUGCCUCAGUAACGGCGAGUGAAGCGGCAAAAGCUCAAAUUUGAAAUCCUUCGGGAGUUGUAAUUUGUAGGUUGGGAGACCCCGCGGCUAGUGGCACCAAGUCCCUUGGAACAGGGCGCCUUAGAGGGUGAGAGCCCCGUAGGUACCACAAUACCGUCUUGUGUCUCCUCUCCAAAGAGUCGAGUUGUUUGGGAAUGCAGCUCAAAGUGGGUGGUAAAUUCCAUCUAAAGCUAAAUACCGGCGAGAGACCGAUAGCGAACAAGUACAGUGAUGGAAAGAUGAAAAGCACUUUGAAAAGAGAGUGAAACAGUACGUGAAAUUGUUGAAAGGGAAGGGCUUGCAAGCAGACACGGCCUUCGUGCCGGGCCAGCAUCGGUUGCUAGGGGUGGAUAAGGAACAAGGAAUGUAGCUCCUCGGAGUAUUAUAGCCUUGCGCGAUACACCCACUGGCGACCGAGGCCUGCGGUAUUCUUUACCUAGGAUGCUGGCGUAAUGGUUGCAAGCCGC